AUUGAACGCUGGCGGCAGGCCUAACACAUGCAAGUCGAGCGGAUGAAGGGAGCUUGCUCCUGGAUUCAGCGGCGGACGGGUGAGUAUGCCUAGGAAUCUGCCUGGUAGUGGGGGAUAACGUCCGGAAACGGGCGCUAAUACCGCAUACGUCCUGAGGGAGAAAGUGGGGGAUCUUCGGACAUCACGCUAUCAGAUGAGCCUAGGUCGGAUUAGCUAGUUGGUGGGGUAAAGGCCUACCAAGGCGACGAUCCGUAACUGGUCUGAGAGGAUGAUCAGUCACACUGGAACUGAGACACGGUCCAGACUCCUACGGGAGGCAGCAGUGGGGAAUAUUGGACAAUGGGCGAAAGCCUGAUCCAGCCAUGCCGCGUGUGUGAAGAAGGUCUUCGGAUUGUAAAGCACUUUAAGUUGGGAGGAAGGGCAGUAAGUUAAUACCUUGCUGUUUUGACGUUACCAACAGAAUAAGCACCGGCUAACUUCGUG
rnacentral:rRNA from 1 species